rnacentral:piRNA from 1 species
GUUGCUGUUAUAGAAUGAGUGCC